AUGUGUAGGGUUUGGCAUACGAAGAGGGCAAAACAUAGGACAAAUGCCUAUAUUGUCUGCUCAAGAGAAGGUACGCACAAGCAGACUGUGUUGGAUUAUAACCAGAUACGUCAGAAGACAUCAAAAAGGAUUGGCUGCAAGGCAAAGAUUAGAGUCAAAAAUAGGAAGGAUGGCAAAUUUGUGAUAGAAAUGGUUCAACUCAACCACAAUCACAAGAUGCUGGAAAGCACCGAAAUGCUUUUGCACAUGCGAUCGCAUAAAAAAGACGAUCCUUUGAUAGACCAACUAGUGAAAGACAUGCAACUGGAAAACCACACACAUGCUCAGAUGAUGUCGACGCUGUCGCGUAUGUCCAGUGGUCUGCAGUACAUGGGACAUACUAGCCGUGACUAGAAAAUGCAGGAAACAAAAGUUUGCAAAGAAGAGUGAGAAGAUGAUGUCAAGAAACUUCUGGAUUUCUUCGAGAAAAUGCAGAAGAUAAACCCAGAGUUCUUCUAUGAUUAUGACGUUGAUGCAAGUUGCAAAUGAUCGUAUGAAGAUUUUGGAGACUGUGUUACAUUUGACGCGAUGUAUAAAACUAACAAAUUGCACAUGCCACUGGGAGUCUUCGUGGGUGUGAACCAUCAUCUAUAGAGCACCAUAUUUGUUGUUGCCCUCGUGCGAGAUGAAAAAAUACCAUCAUUCGAGUGGGUUUUCAGAACCUUUCUAAGGUGUAUGAACAACAAGCCACCAAUCUGCAUGCUCACAGACCAGUGUUCUUCGAUGAAGGAAGCAUUAAAAACUACCCUCCCACAUACUCUGCAUAAGCUGUGUCGAUGGCAUAUCAUGAAGAAGUACAAAGACCACCUCGCCUUGCUGUAUAAGGCGCACGAGAAACUCAAGGAUGAACUCAAUGCGGUGCUGAAUCACCCACUAAUGCCGUCAGAAUUUGAACGAGCAUGGAAGAACCUCAUUCAGAGAUACAACUUGCAAGACGGCGAAGUGAUGAAUUUGUUGUGGGAUGACAGGCACGACUGGAUCUCGGCUUACUACAAGGAAAUUCUGCUAGCUAUUUAGAAAAUCACAAACAAAAGAUCAAGUUUCACUUAUCAUUAA
rnacentral:rRNA from 1 species